AGGUAGCCUAGUGGUUAGAGCGUCAGGUAGCCUAGUGGUUAGAGCGUCAGGUAGCCUAGUGGUUAGAGCGUCAGGUAGCCUAGUGGUUAGAGCGUCAGGUAGCCUAGUGGUUAGAGCGUCAGGUAGCCUAGUGGUUAGAGCGUCAGGUAGCCUAGUGGUUAGAGCGUCAGGUAGCCUAGUGGUUAGAGCGUCAGGUAGCCUAGUGGUUAGAGCGUCAGGUAGCCUAGUGGUUAGAGCGUCAGGUAGCCUAGUGGUUAGAGCGUCAGGUAGCCUAGUGGUUAGAGCGUCAGGUAGCCUAGUGGUUAGAGCGUCAGGUAGCCUAGUGGUUAGAGCGUCAGGUAGCCUAGUGGUUAGAGCGUCAGGUAGCCUAGUGGUUAGAGCGUCAGGUAGC